GACGAACGCUGGCGGCGUGCUUAACACAUGCAAGUCGAACGGAAAGGCCCUGCUUUUGUGGGGUGCUCGAGUGGCGAACGGGUGAGUAACACGUGAGUAACCUGCCCUUGACUUUGGGAUAACUUCAGGAAACUGGGGCUAAUACCGGAUAGGAGCUCCUGCUGCAUGGUGGGGGUUGGAAAGUUUCGGCGGUUGGGGAUGGACUCGCGGCGUAUCAGCUUGUUGGUGGGGUAGUGGCUUACCAAGGCUUUGACGGGUAGCCGGCCUGAGAGGGUGACCGGCCACGUUGGGACGGAGAUACGGCCCAGACUCCUACGGGAGGCAGCAGUGGGGAAUAUUGCACAAUGGGCGGAAGCCUGAUGCAGCAACGCCGCGUGCGGGAUGACGGCCUUCGGGUUGUAAACCGCUUUCGCCUGUGACGAAGCGUGAGUGACGGUAAUGGGUAAAGAAGCACCGGCUAACUACGUG
rnacentral:rRNA from 1 species